UGCAAAUCAACUGCAAAAGAUUAGGGAAAAGCUAUUUGCUUUGGGUUUACGUGAACAAGAUGAACUACCGCAGCUUCACUAGGAAUCGCUAUGCGUUGCUGAAGCUGCGCGAGACAGUUCGAGAUGAGUGAUGUUGCAGUCAAGCCAAGUAUCUCUUUCAGCUUCAACCUAAAUAAGCAAAUGCUCUGUUUGGGAACAAAAAAAAAUGACAGUUUGGAGAAGAAAAGACUAUAAGAUUCAGCUUCCUCGUAUGCAUUAAAUCGAGAAACAGAUCUGGGCGAUUGAUAUGUGAAGCAGGAACUUCGCAAUAAGGGUUUAGCAUAACUAGUCUAUCCCAAUUCUGAUCGUGCAACUUGUGCUAUUUGUGUUUUUUUCUGAUGGGGAAUGGAUCUGCAGAGCUGCUAUUUCUAAA